rnacentral:rRNA from 1 species
CCCUUAGAUGUUCGGGGCCGCACGCGCGCUACACUGAAGGAAUUAGCACGUCUUUCUCCUUGUCCGAAAGGACUGGGUAACCCGCUGAACCUCCUUCGUGCUAGGGAUUGGGGCUUGUAAUUCUUCCCCAUGAACGAGGAAUUCCCAGUAAGCGCGAGUCAUAAGCUCGCGUUGAUUACGUCCCUGCCCUUUGUACACACCGCCCGUCGCUACUACCGAUUGGAUGGUUUAGUGAGAUCCUCGGAUUGGUCCCGGAGCGGCCUCUGGUCGUGCCGGAGUGCCGAAAAGAAUGUCGAACUUGAUCAUCUAGAGGAAGUAAAAGUCGUAACA